GUCGAACCAAUUUCAAAUUAGAAACACCCGCCCGGAAGUAAAAAAUCCGACGUGUAGUCUUUGUGCUAGUUAACGCGGUGGAUUUAUGGAUCAAAACACGACUUAUCUUGACAGAACAUCGAAGAUCAUAACCAACUUCCACGUUCGGUGCUCUGGAGAUGCAUUGGCCUGUCAUCCCCAUGCAAAGUGCACUGGAUUGUAUAACAAUCAAAAAAAGAAACUUAAACAUGGGCCAGUGACAAUCACACUGACGUCACCUCAAGUGUCAGAAACCUUAUUUGCUGUUAAUCAAAUAUGCCCAGCUGAGGAGGAAAUGUGCCAAACUGUUCGCGGAGGAAUUUGUGCAGACGGAAGAGGACGACAGUCAGAUGGCGAACAGGGAGGAUAAAAGCUGUUGCGCGUUUAAAAUUUAGCGUCAAUGGACACUUACAUUUUGCUGGAGUGUGCUAGUUCUUGAUUACAAUGUUGACAUUUUACUUGGAAUUAACCUGAUUAAAAUUGAGCGCAAAAGCCCAGAGCUCAGCAUUUCUCAUGAUCACAGGAGAUGGAUUAAGAAAGAAGGGUUUCAAAUUGAAUAUACCUCUCCCUGCUCAGCCUGCUAAUUGUACCAUUUACCACUGCUUGAGUCACUGACCGGCGCCAUUUAGUCAAACUAAUGAUGAUGCACAGUCCACGCCAUCCCACGAUAAUUAAAAAGAGCUCCAUCUCUUUUCCCGCAUUAGCUGUUUUUGUUUUCUUCCUUUUUUGUAAAAUCAACACGUGCACGCAAACCCCCCCCCAAAAAAAACCCGAGCCGCAGUCGCAUUAGUCCCUCACCUCACUUGUGUCACUGUUAACUGGGAAAUGACUUUUUUCUUUUUCUUUGCUUUUUCCAGAAUCCAUCCUCCGUCACGUGUUAUUGACUACGCAAAGUCAGGGGAGCCUGUUUAUUGAGAACAAAAUCUCUCACUCACCAGGACUUUCAAUCAUUUUUGGAGAAUAUUAGAGUCUGCAUGUGUUUGCAAUCUCAUUGUUCUCAUUGCUCUUAUUCAUUUUUCUGUGGUUGUACACUACACCUUACGUUUUCCUGUCAAGUGACCUCUUCGGUGGAGAAAACAAUGAAGCGUUCAGUUAUGCCACCAAUAAAAUUGGUCAGCAUGGAUCAACAAAGGAGAUUGGCAUCAGCAUUCUGUCAACAUUUUUUUCCCAUCAUGACUACAAUUUUUCACUUUGUAGCCUACCACAACUAACCAAGCCAUAACCAUAAAGGUGACAUACAGUAUAAUCAUCAUAUAGAUCAUCAAAAUUGGUUUCAUAAUGUUCAUUUGUCAUUUUGGACAAACAACCUUUUGGUUUUGGUUUAGUCGUACUCUGUCAUACAGCAAAACAACAUUCACAUAACACACACCUCCAAAUAUUAACGCACAUUUUUUUUUUUUUUUUGCAUCGUUCACUUGCCUGGUUUAUUUACACUUUGUGGUUGUUUUAAAAAUCCAGCUGGGGAGAAGAAGAAAAAAUGGCUUUGCUGUGCUGCUUUCCCUGUUCUGGCCUGAUUGACUCCGAUAUCACCAGUGCCUCUAACAUAAAAUGCCCACGUGUCCCCGUAAAAUACACAGCAUUUGUUCUGAGGCAGAGUGGCACUGCGGAGUGGAGCACAGCUCCUCUCCGGCAGCACUGAGCCUGACCGAGCCAGGGAAUAAGUAAAUGAAUAAAUAGGCUGAUGUUGAAUUUUCCCCCCACUUGCCUCCACUGACACAAAUAGGAUCUACAGUAAUUUAUAAUGCUGUUAGGGAGGCGGCUCUCUCUCUAACCGAGGUGUCUGUCACCUCUCGUGCAGGAAGCCUCUCAGUACCAGAGUGGAGGACCUGCAGCACCCUGACAUCCUGCUUUGCUAUUCCACGCACAUGGCCCAAAGGCUAAGUGACAUCAAGCCUCAUUAUUGUCAUCACAUGCCACAUUUGUAACUGGUUAGCGAGCAAAUUGUGAUAAAAUAGGCUGAUGCCCCUUCUGAGCAUCUCUGGCUGCCCAAGCUGGACUUUUCCAUAAUGUUGUGAACCACAUUUGUGUGACAGAAAAAAAGAAGAAAAAAAAAAAAAGAGGAUGAGAGGAGCUUUUACGGCACAAUACAGGUUUUCUUCAAUUUUUUAGUGUUGUGUAACAGAAUAUUUUUUUUAUCAGUAAUUGUUAUGUGUCCUGAUAUCACUCCGGAACUAGUGAGCUGUUAUCAACCAACAAUGACAACAAAAUGAUAUUUGAGUUCUGUUUGGACCGAGGCUGAACGGUCUGUGGUGUAAACCCUGCGCUACCAUUCUUAUGCCGAGCGCUUCUAAGCGCUCUAUGUUGUUUUUUCCGGUGAAACGAGAUCAUAGACUAGGUUCCUCAGCGGCGCAGUACUUUUCUUUUUAAAUCCAUGUGCGGAAAUAAUGAGGAAGGAAAGCUCUUGUUUGCGUCAACCUCAAAUUGGCAAAAUGAAAAUCUGUCUUUAAAUAAAGGGAAAGACCCCCAAUGGCGUGCGAGGGCUACAGUUUCUGUCACAUAUAUUCCUUGGAGGUUUCAUGUGACAAAACACAGAAAGUGGCUUUGUCCCUCCUCUUGUCACGUUACACCCCUUACCCAUAGGUUUUUUUUUUUUCCCUUCCUGUUGUCUGGCUGUCUGUGCUGUCAGCCCAUAGCCUGGCACCUGCUCUCAUGUUCCUAAUUAGUCCCAUUUAAUUAAUUAUAUACUGCAGCACUUCUUCUUAUUUCUGGCUUCCUCUGGAUUCCGUCGCCUUUGUUUCAAACUUGCAGAGAAGAGCAGCUCUCCGUUGGCCGCUGGUUACUCGGUUCAGGGUCGAGACGGUGUUGCGAUGUGUGUGUGUGUGUGUGUGGAUUGAACACACUCAUUGUACCACGGAUAUCGGACGGCAUUUAACAUUCCUCCGUUCAGUUUUUCUCUGCGUUUCCCUGUUUCAUAAAAGUUCUUUUGCGAUGCUGGCAGGAGCAGGUGACGUCGCCGUUUUUGCUGCAGGUUGUUGUGUAAUCCUGGUAAGGAAUACCUGAUGGCAUAAGCAGCUUCCCAGCUGCUGCUCCAUCCUCUUGUUACACUAGGAUGCAUAAUAUGUGCUGAAGAAAAGGUUCCAUCAAAUAUUUACCACCUGAUCAACGCAACACAAAGGGGGAAAGAUCAAACCUUUGACUGAAUGGGUCAACCCCCGGUCUCAUCGAGUUUCCAGCAGGGAAAAAACAGACUCUAGGAAGACGCACGUUGCGCUGUUACAUUGUGUAGAAAAUAAAUAAAAGUUUUGGGAUUUUUCUUGUCUCCUUUCUUUUUAAGAAUUAACCCUUGACAUUUAGAGAAGAAGGGAUACUCAACAAUUGUCCGGAUUAUGCAAAAAAUACCAUACCGAUUUGCAUCAAACUUGGUGGAGGGACGGGACGUGUGCCGGUGGAAAAAAAACAGUACAUUUCGGAUGGAGGUCAAGAGUUUGCAGGAUAAAUUUAAUGGGACGUGAGAGGAUCACCCAUAUUGAAAAAGGGCAACGCCACCUGUUAAAUGGCCCCUAAUGAUGAUGCGGAGUAGUGACGUGGUCUUACACUCACCAGGAACCAUUCCAGCGAGCGUGGAGGUUGGGUAGCUGCCCUGGCCUGUGGGGGGGACGUGAGGUGGAUACCCAGAAUCACUUCAACAUCUAGUCUAAUGUCUUCGAAAUAUGCCAAAGCCGCGAUGCCAGAAAGUUUAUAAUCUGCAGGUUUCACUGGUGUAACUGAUCAAUUAUGAGGCUGUGACUACACCUCGCUUCUUAACCGGAAGACGUCAGGGUACGGAGGGCGUUCAAAGACCCGGUCCAGUGCUUCCAGCUGCUGCUGAGUGAAGGCAUCUGCCCUCAGGUGUUUCCGUAAACUCUCCACACUACCCUGAGAAUCACUGUGUGGGCCAGAACCAUCUGAACCAUCUACAAGAAGAGAGAGCAACAAUCGAGACACUGACCCCGGGAAGCUGGCCUUUGUCAAGCUAUGCACUUCAUAUUCUUCUCCAUGUUUUUUUUUGGUUUUUUUCCCUGUACCACCUCUGUGGGAGACCAGAGGAGGACAGGAAAAGGAUGGAGUGCUGCUUUUUCAGCAGCGUAAUGACUGUAGUGAGCCACUGGCUACAUCAUACAGACUUUUCCCUCUGCCCCCCCCCUCCCACUGUAUUAACACCACCAUGAUCUGAAAGCCCUCUGGUAAUUGAUGGAUCACCUGCAAAUAUAUACAUGUUGUGGCAAGCAUGUAUACUAAUGAAAGCAGCAGCUCCCCCUUUCCAGCCAAAGGAUUUUGUUUUUUCUUCCAUUGGUGCUCAAUGAAAUCAAGGGCACGUUUUUUUUUUGUUGUUGUUGUUGUUUUAAAGUACAAUUUCCCUUUUGCAAUUCAAUACUGCUUUCAUUCUCUGUGAGUGUGUGGUUCCAUUUGGGAAAAAACAGCGGCGGAGGACAAGAGGCUAAAUAAAAUCGUACAGUCCGGUUCAAUCAUCCUGCUCUCCAAACACGGGAAUCUUCUCCUGACUCCUGACCUGAUUACCCAACUGUUGGGAGAAGGAUGCCUCGGCUUUUCCCGGUAUCACUUGUGUGCAAUGCUUUGAAGCCUCUUACAGACCAUUCUACCGUACCUCCAUCCCUCCGCUCUCCUCCACCACCCCCCACCUCUGCUGGCUGCAGUGGCUGUGUCUGCCGGUCUCCUCCCCAGAUCCCACAAAGCUUCAGCUCCCUUACAAAUCUGUCAUUCUAAAUUUGCUGCAGAUUAUGUUCUCCCCUCAGUGGGAGAGCCGUGAUAUAUGAUAUGCAAGGCCCCUAUUGAUUGCCUGAUCUGGUGGCAAGAGGGAGCUGAAAUGAACUUGAAAUGAACAUCAUGCCUCAACUCAUUGUGCGUAUAAUACUCUACUUAAUCCCACAUUUUUCUCUGCCAUGGAAUUCAAUUGAUCAAUCAUGUCUGUGUGAUAGUACCAUUUGGGAGGGUUAUUGCCAUCCUAUUCUGCUGCUUGACCUUUUUUUCACAGGCUGAGACCAGAGGAUGAACCUGACUCUCCUGUGGAGAGCUGAACGAACUAUAAAAGAUCAGAAGCUGAAUUCAGGAGAUGCCGCGUUGACAAGGGAACUGCUCGCCUGGCUCUGUCGUGAGUGGACACAUAUGCUUUUAUAUUUCCGUGCGACGCCGCUGAUGCUGGGAGCUGCAGUGUUACCUAUGGUGUGGCCUGGCGCCGACAGGGACGUCCCGUCGGGGGACGGGUGGAAAGGCUGCUGGACUUUUGUCCGGAUGAUCCUGGGGGAACAAAGGAGAUGCAGGUGUCACCGGUGCUCAUCUAUUCCUGAUUUUCUCCUCCAAACUGCCCCCUGAUUUAAGCAAAUUCCAUCGGUCACGUCAGCUACCAUGGAGGGGCCCCUCGGCCGGACACUGGUCCCCCUCACCUGCCCAGGAUCUUGCUGACGCAGCCGUGGCUGACCCGCAGCUGCCGGGAGAUGUCGCAGGGCCGGACCCCCUGGUGGGCCAGCUCCACUAUCCGCUGCCUGACCACGUCCGGGAGGGGUCUGCCGUUCACAAACACCCCGCCGAGCUGGUUCACACCUCCGUGCCCUACGUGGGACACAACAGCAGCACACACACAACCGUAACAUUACAUAAAGUCGUCACGGAGGAGCAGGAGGAGGAGGAGGAGGAGGAGGAAGGGUCAGGUGAGUGUUGGGCUUUUUAUUUUUAGGGGGAAAUCGCCCUUUAGAAUAAAACCUCGACUGCUGGUCGGAUUCCUCCUCUGGUUUCUGUGGAGCAGGUGGAUUCGUAUACGUUGAUUGUGUUGCAUUACAAUACAAAUAUUGUUAAUUUUUUUAUCAAAGUAGAUCAUUUCUUUAUAUAUAAAAAAAUAUAUAUUAUAUUCGAUAUUUAUGUGAUUGCUUUCUGCCACAUUUCCAGCGUUUCACAGGCUAAAAAAAAAGAUCACGUUCUUCUAUUUUGUCAGUUAUUGUUCCUUCCAAAUAAUUGAAAUGAAUAAAGGAGGAUUUAAGAAAA